CUGAAAGGAUAACGAUGGUUUGUUUACUCGCUUUGGAAGCGAGAGGUUGUAGGUUCGAAUCCUAUCUCUCAGA
rnacentral:tRNA from 1 species